GGACGUUUUGAUUUGUUAGGGUGCGUUUGGGGGCUGAUUUUGUCUCUUAAUCAGCGGGUCCUUGGUUCGAGCCCAAGUGCGUCCACCA
rnacentral:tRNA from 1 species